rnacentral:rRNA from 1 species
GAUGAACGCUGGCGGCGUGCCUAACACAUGCAAGUCGAGUGAACAGACGAGGAGCUUGCUCCUUUGACGUUAGCGGCGGACGGGUGAGUAACACGUAGGUAACCUACCUAUAAGACUGGGAUAACUUCGGGAAACCGGAGCUAAUACCGGAUAAUAUUUCGAACCGCAUGGUUCGAUAGUGAAAGAUGGCUUUGCUAUCACUUAUAGAUGGACCUGCGCCGUAUUAGCUAGUUGGUAAGGUAACGGCUUACCAAGGCAACGAUACGUAGCCGACCUGAGAGGGUGAUCGGCCACACUGGAACUGAGACACGGUCCAGACUCCUACGGGAGGCAGCAGUAGGGAAUCUUCCGCAAUGGGCGAAAGCCUGACGGAGCAACGCCGCGUGAGUGAUGAAGGUCUUCGGAUCGUAAAACUCUGUUAUUAGGGAAGAACAAACGUGUAAGUAACUGUGCACGUCUUGACGGUACCUAAUCAGAAAGCCACGGCUAACUACGUG